UACGUAGGGGGCGAGCGUUGUCCGAAGUUACUGGGCGUAAAGCGCGCGUAGGCGGGCCGUUAAGUGGGAGGUGAAAGGCCGGGGCUCAACCCCGUGCAGUGCCUCCCAUACUGGCGGUCUUGAGGGCGGUAGGGAGAAGCGGAAUGGCUGGUGUAGCGGUGAAAUGCGUAGAUAUCAGUCGGAACACCGGUGGCGAAGGCGGCUUCUUGGGCCGUUCCUGACGCUGAGGCGCGAAAGCUGGGGGAGCGAACGGG
rnacentral:rRNA from 1 species